AUUGAACGCUGGCGGCAUGCCUUACACAUGCAAGUCGAACGGAAACAGGUCUUCGGAUGCUGACGAGUGGCGAACGGGUGCGUAAUACAUCGGAACGUGCCCAGCCUUGGGGGAUAACGGGGAUAAAGCUUUGCUAAUACCGCAUACGACCUAAGGUUGAAAGCUGGGGACCGCAAGGCCUUGCGCGAUUGGACCGGCCGAUGGCAGAUUAGGUAGUUGGUGGGAUAAAGGCUUACCAAGCCGACGAUCUGUAGCUGGCCUGAGAGGACGACCGGCCACACUGGGACUGAGACACGGCCCAGACUCCUACGGGAGGCAGCAGUGGGGAAUUUUGGGCAAUGGACGAAAGCCUGAUCCAGCAAUGCCGCGUGAAGGAUGAAGGUCUUCGGGUUGUAAACUUCUUUUGUACGGAAAGAAAAGGUUCUGGAUAAUCCGUGCGUAACAUGACGGUACCGUAAGAAUAAGCACCGGCUAACUACGUG
rnacentral:rRNA from 1 species